rnacentral:rRNA from 1 species
UGCCAGCAGCCGCGGUAAGACGAACCGGACGAACGUUAUCCGGAUUCAUUGGGUUUAAAGGGUGCGUAGGCGGUCAAAUAAGUCAGUGGUGAAAGCCUUCCGCUUAACGGAAGAACUGCCAUUGAUACUGUUUGACUUGAAUCUAGUUGAAGUGGGCGGAAUACGUCAUGUAGCGGUGAAAUGCAUAGAUAUGACGUGGAACGCCGAUUGCGAAGGCAGCUCACUAAGUUAGUAUUGACGCUGAGGCACGAAAGCGUGGGGAGCGAACAGGAUUAGAUA